GGUUUUGUAGCUCAGUUGGUAGAGCAGUUGACUGAAGCUCAACGUGUCGGCGGUUCAAUUCCGUCCAAAACCACCA
rnacentral:tRNA from 7 species